rnacentral:rRNA from 1 species
AGGGUUCGAUUAUGGCUCAGGAUGAACGCUGGCGGCGUGCUUAACACAUGCAAGUCGAACGAAGCGCCUUAUUUGAUUUUCUUCGGAACUGAAGAUUUGGUGACUGAGUGGCGGACGGGUGAGUAACGCGUGGGUAACCUGCCCUGUACAGGGGGAUAACAAUCAGAAAUGACUGCUAAUACCGCAUAAGACCACAGCACCGCAUGGUGCAGGGGUAAAAACUCCGGUGGUACAGGAUGGACCCGCGUCUGAUUAGCUGGUUGGUGAGGUAACGGCUCACCAAGGCGACGAUCAGUAGCCGGCUUGAGAGAGUGAACGGCCACAUUGGGACUGAGACACGGCCCAA